rnacentral:rRNA from 1 species
UACAGAGGGUGCGAGCGUUGUCCGGAAUUACUGGGCGUAAAGAGCUCGUAGGUGGUUUGUCGCGUUGUUCGUGAAAACUCACAGCUUAACUGUGGGCGUGCGGGCGAUACGGGCAGACUGGAGUACUGCAGGGGAGACUGGAAUUCCUGGUGUAGCGGUGGAAUGCGCAGAUAUCAGGAGGAACACCGGUGGCGAAGGCGGGUCUCUGGGCCGAUACUGACGCUGAGGAGCGAAAGCGUGGGGAGCGAACAGG